rnacentral:rRNA from 1 species
AGUUUGAUCCUGGCUCAGAUUGAACGCUGGCGGCAUGCUUUACACAUGCAAGUCGAACGGGGUUAAGGGGCUUGCUCCUUAAUCUAGUGGCGAACGGGUGAGUAAUGCAUCGGAACGUACCCGGGAGUGGGGGAUAACGCACCGAAAGGUGUGCUAAUACCGCAUAUUCUGUGAGCAGGAAAGCAGGGGACCUUAGGGCCUUGUGCUUCCGGAGCGGCCGAUGUCGGAUUAGCUAGUUGGUGAGGUAAAGGCUCACCAAGGCGACGAUCCGUAGCGGGUCUGAGAGGAUGAUCCGCCACACUGGGACUGAGACACGGCCCAGACUCCUACGGGAGGCAGCAGUGGGGAAUUUUGGACAAUGGGCGCAAGCCUGAUCCAGCCAUGCCGCGUGUCUGAAGAAGGCCUUCGGGUUGUAAAGGACUUUUGUCAGGAAGGAAAACCUAUUGGGCU